GUGAACGAGAGCUAACCUGUUAAGCGGAUGUAAUGCACUUUAAAACGAUAAAAGCAACCGUUUCUGAAUUAUAUGCUUGGCAAGUUUCCUUAGACUGGUACACGGGAUGGACGAGCUUUUUGUCCCGAACGGCGAGCCGUUGACGAAGCAACGAGCCGCCAUUACGAUCAGAGCGGAGCAGACAUACGACCACAAAAAGUACCGCUCAGCCAGCAAGUUAAUUUACCUUCUCAAUUGAUGUGUGACUGCUCAGGUUCACAGCGUGAAGCUCGGGCAAUUCGUGUACAGACUUUUAUUUCGGUAAGGACCAGUAAAGUUACUUAGCAGUAACGGCUAAUAGCUAAAAACACUAAGAUGUCAGCUAAAAAAAAUAGCUGACCACUUUCCUCCCCCCCAAAGGAAAUGGGCGGGACUUCUGAGCGCAGAAGGCAUUACGUAACCACUUCUUUGGGCUUUGUGAUUGGAGGAAAAAAGUUUGAGCGUGUUGUGCCAGAAAGUUGUUUAGUAGGAAAUGAUAUGUACAUUGCAGAAUAAAAUAUUCUAUAACAAAUA